ACUCUCUCUGAUUUAAUUCGCUUGUGUUUUUCUCUCUGUGUGUCUCUUGCUGGUCCAUCUACAGGUGUCGAGUCUUUUGAAAGAGACCGAGUGAGACUGGGAGGGCGGCGGAGAAAUACCGAGAUCAUUCCGGGCGACUGGGGUAAAGCUGCUGGACCGGUGCCGCGGGGAUCCGACCUCGCUUGUCGUCUUGACACAACGUCAAGCUGCGAUGCUGCUGGAAAACUCGUGAUACCGCCUGACAUCAGAGGACGCCCGACUUCGCAUCUUCCCAUCCAACAGUGCCAAUAAUGAACACCCGGCUCCCGCAAAUGAAAGCUUGUCGCCGCGUAGACACUUCCCGACGCACACACUCAGGGGGUUCAGACAUCGCAGAGGUUCGCGCCGGUUUAACCUGAUUUAAGGACAAAGGGGAAAAACCCGCACAAACACGGGCAGGCGCGAGUACGCACAGGCCGCAGUGUUGGGGAUACUGCGCCCCGAGCGGCCACAGCACAGCUUGAACGUGAUGGGCAGAGGAGGACGUUAGCCUGGAGGUUGGACUGGUGUGCUGGGUCUGAAAAGUUACUUGUUCCAAUCCCCGAAUCCGGCCAGGGACGCUGACUCCAACCGCUCUUACCUUUAACCCCAUCAUCCCCAGCGUCGCGCCACCGUCCCACCCGCUGUUAAGACGAGGCCUGAUCAUGAACCAGGCUCUGGUCCUAUCGAGCGAGAGGAGCUGUCUUCUCGGUUGUUACCCUUCCUUACAUGCUGCUGUUGAGCCAGGUGUGUGUGUGCAUGAAAGUUUGGUUGUGUCCCGUUCUCCUUAAUGCGGCGGCUGUAAAGAACUCCCUGACAAAACGGUGAUUUAAUGACUGUGAUGCUUUCAUGACCUAUUCGACUUCUGGGGUUUUGGGUCCCUAUGAAGUCGGAGAGGUUAGUGACAUGGUUUGACUCGAGAGA